UACGAAGGGGGCUAGCGUUGUUCGGAAUUACUGGGCGUAAAGAGCGCGCAGGCGGCUGGUCAAGUCCGAUGUGAAAGCCUCCCGGCUUAACUGGGAAAUUGCAUCGGAAACUGAUCGGCUGGAAGGUGGGAGAGGGUAGCGGAAGUUCCCGGUGUAGUGGUGAAAUGCGUAGAUAUCGGGAGGAACACCAGUGGCGAAAGCGGCUACCUGGCC
rnacentral:rRNA from 1 species